ensembl:lncRNA
CUGUGUGCAGGAUAAGCGGUUUGACAAUGGAUGGAUGGAUGAUUCGGAAAGUGCUUUUGAUCGUUCAUUGAUUUGAACGUGUUUUUUUGGGAAGACGCACGCGGAUUAAGGUGAAAAUCAAUUGCGUUUGGAACAAUUGGUUUAUUUAUUUAUUUUGUUGGUGCGUGAGAGGAGGAGAACAAUUAGGUAAAUUUGUACCUUGGCCGUGGUUAAAGUAGGCCAGGUUGAAGUAUUGGCGGUGAGCGAUUGUUUGACAAGUGUAGGUCUGCACUGCGCGUCAAGAUUGAUCGAUUUGAUAAAGUAUUCGAUAAAAUUAUCAGAGCUUUACGAGUGCCCGUUAGUUGUAAUGUUUGUUAUUUUAGUUUAUUUUUGUGCUAUCCUGGGCAGAGGGCACCGUCGUGGAAGCCUUCUUUAACGGCAUUUUGUCGGGGAAGUUAAGGCUCCGCUGAUAUCGUGUAAUAAAAAUCUCUGUCCUUGGGAUAUGCAUGACGAGGAUCGCUAUUUUUUCUUUCUUUUUACAGGGCAGCUCUGUUUUGUCUCGUCUGAUGCGCAGUGUGGUAGCCACAUUUGCAUUGGGAAAAGGUGAGCUUGUUAUCUUUAUUUGCAAGAAUUGUAUGGGGUAAAAAUCGUUUCAUUUGUAUGGCUAGUUUGGAGGAUUUUUUUGUUACUCCAUCCGUGGAGGUUUGGAAUAAUUUGACAAAGGAUCAGUUGCGCCGGGUUUGUGACCAUUAUGGCCUUGACUUAGGUUUACCAAGAACAGCAAAAUUAGCCCAGAUUAGAUUGUCCGUUCAGGCUGAAUUGGUUAAGAAUAUUUUGUCACCUGAAUCUAAAAUUAUGGAUGAUUUGGGAGAAGCACUGUCGACACCUCAUUCGACAGGGUGUUCUAAGGUGGCGCUCACGUUUGAGCAACAAAAGGUGUUGCUAGAAAUGCAACAGGAAGAGAGAGAAGCUCAACGUGAGGCAGAACGUCAAGAGAGAAGCUCAACGAGAGGCAGAUCGACAGGAAGCUAAACGCGAGUUAGAGAGGGAAAGAAUAAAAAGUGAACGUGAUGUGGCGUUGGAACGGCUAAGACUGAGUGCUGAAGGUAGGCUUCCAGUUGAUGGGGAGGAGGGUCCUGCUCCUAGGGAGUCUGUGCGUUCCCCUGAUAUAUCUAGCAUGGUUAGGUUGCUGCCAAAAUUCAAUGAAAGAGAUCCAGAUAUUUUCUUUUCUUUAUUUGAGAGUGUGGCUGAUGACCGUGGCUGGACUGACUCUGAAAGAACGUUGGUAAUCCAAAGUGUUCUUGUAGGUAGAGCGCAAGAAGCGUUUAUUGCUUUGCCUGUACCAGAUCGAAAAAAGUAUGUCAAAGUAAAAGAGGCAGUGCUUAAAAUUUAUGAAUUGGUUCCUGAGGCUUAUCGUUUGCGGUUUCGCAGCUGGAGAAAGGGAGAAAAACAGACUUAUACAGAGGUAGCGAGGGAAUUGUACAGCCACUUUAAUCGUUGGUGCUCCGCGGUGGGAGUCACUACUUUUGAAGAAUUGUCUAACCUGAUUGUUUUAGAACAGUUCAGAAACAUCCUUCCGGAGCGCGUCGCUACACAUAUAUUUGAGCAUAAGAUGAAAACCGCAGCGGAAGGCGCAGUUGUGGCUGACGAUUUUGCUUUGACACAUAAGUAUAGUUUAAAAGACACAGGUCAGAUUUAUCAGGAAAAACGUUUUGGACGUUUCAAUAGAGCUUUGGGGUCUUCUUCGUUGGGUUCAUUUGAGUCACCUACUCAGAGUAGAGUAGAUUCACAUUCCAAUCAGUCACACAGAGGUGCCGUGAGUUUUCGCAGAGAUUCUAGGUUUUCUGCGUUUACACCUGCCAGUCAGGCUAAGAAUGAUGCUGAUGUGUCGAUACUGUUUGGAAAAGGGGCACUGGAAGAGAGACUGUCCUGUGUUAAAGGGGAAAAGUCAGAGAAAGGGUACUGAGGUUGUUAGGGGGAAACGGUGGACCUGACUCAGUUGUGCCUGGGGGAAGUGGUUAUUUUCCUUUUGUUACGGAUGGGUUAGUUUCACUGGUGGGUAGUUCCAACCAAGUGCCAGUUAAGAUACUUAGGGACACAGGGGCGUCUGAGUCUUUUAUCUUGAAGUCUGUAUUGCCUUUUUCUGCAGACUCUAGUACUGGGAACAAUGUUUUAGUCCGGGGGAUUGGGUUGCAAGUUGUCUCUGUUCCAUUGCACAGGAUUAAUCUGCAGUCGGAUUUAGUGCAAGGGGAAGUAAAAAUAGCAGUUCGCCCUUCUUUACCAAUAGAGGGCGUCCAUCUUCUUUUAGGUAACAACCUGGCUGGAGAACGUGUCUGGCGUGAUGUACUGCCCCCUGUAAUUGUUAACAAUGUUCCUUCUAUUCCAGCCGACAGUGACGUUGGUGGUCAGAAUUUGACUGUCUUUACAGCUUGUGCCGUGACACGGGCUUUGAGUCGUGCCUCUAAUGAUGACGUUUCUCAGAGUAGAGAGUUUAAGUUUGUUGUUGUGCCUAAUUUACCACCAUCUCUCUCUCAUAGUGAUUUUGUUGCAGCUCAAAAGGAGGAUGCAACAUUGAAAGAUCUGUUCGUUGGGGUGUUAACGCCUGUGGAGUUGCGAAAUGCAUCGCGAGGGUAUUUUAUUCAGGAUGGGUUGUUGAUCCGGAAGUGGUCCUCUCACACUGACGACGGGGUUGAUGAUCCAGUGUUUCAAGUGAUAGUACCAUGUAAGUUUAGAGACCUGGUCCUACAGACAGCUCAUGGGAACGUAGCUGGGCACUUGGGGGUUAGAAAAACCUAUGACUGUCUUAUGAAGUACUUCUAUUGGCCUCGCAUAAAGAAGGAUGUGGCAGCCUUCAUUAAGACGUGUCAUGUAUGCCAGUUGACGGGGAAGCCAAAUCAGGUGUUAAAGCCAGCUCCACUUUACCCAAUUCCAGCUCUAGGGAAACCAUUUGAAAAUUUGUUAAUUGAUUGUGUAGGACCAUUGCCUUCAUCUAAGUCAGGGAGUGUUUACCUGCUGACGGUAAUGUGUCAGUCUACCCGGUAUCCCGCUGCCUAUGCGUUGCGUACAAUCACAACUAGGUCGGUGGUGAAAGCCCUUUCACAGUUUAUUUCCAUC